rnacentral:rRNA from 1 species
GGCUUAGAGUUUGAUCAUGGCUCAGGAUGAACGCUGGCGGCGUGCCUAAUACAUGCAAGUCGAGCGAAGCGCCUGCUUCUGAUCUUUCGGGUGAAGAAGCAGGCGACUGAGCGGCGGACGGGUGAGUAACACGUAGGUAACCUGCCUCACACAGGGGGGAUAACAGUUAGAAAUGACUGCUAAUACCGCAUAAGCGCACAGGACCGCAUGGUCUGGUGUGAAAAGCUCCGGCGGUGUGAGAUGGACCUGCGCCUGAUUAGCCAGUUGGCGGGGUAAAGGCCCACCAAAGCGACGAUCAGUAGCCGGCCUGAGAGGGUGGACGGCCACAUUGGGACUGAGACACGGCCCAGACUCCUACGGGAGGCAGCAGUAGGGAAUAUUGCACAAUGGGGGAAACCCUGAUGCAGCGACGCCGCGUGAGCGAAGAAGUAUCUCGGUAUGUAAAGCUCUAUCAGCAGGGAAGAAGAUGACGGUACCUGACUAAGAAGCACCGGCUAAAUACGUGCCAGCAGCCGCGGUAAUACGUAUGGUGCAAGCGUUAUCCGGAUUUACUGGGUGUAAAGGGAGCGUAGACGGAGAAGCAAGUCUGGAGUGAAAGCCCGGGGCUCAACCCCGGGACUGCUUUGGAAACUGUUAUUCUUGAGUGCCGGAGAGGUAAGCG